UACGUAGGGAGCAAGCGUUGUUCGGAUUUACUGGGCGUAAAGGGCGCGUAGGCGGCAAUUCAAGUCAGCUGUGAAAUCUCCGGGCUUAACUCGGAACGGUCAGCUGAUACUGCUUUGCUAGAGUGCGGAAGGGGCAAUCGGAAUUCUCGGUGUAGCGGUGAAAUGCGUAGAUAUCGAGAGGAACACCUGAGGUGAAGACGGGUUGCUGGGCCGACACUGGCGCUGACAGCGCGAAAGCCAGGGGAGCAAACGGG
rnacentral:rRNA from 1 species